GGGCGGUGAGGGCAGGAGCUGAACGCUCGCAUUCACUUCCCUUAGGUCUUGGACAAGCUCCUCCUUUACCUGCGCAUCGUGCAUUCCUUGGAUUAUUACAACACCUGUGAGUACCCCAACGAGGACGAGAUGCCCAAUCGCUGUGGGAUCAUCCACGUUCGGGGGCCCAUGCCACCCAACCGCAUUAGUCACGGGGAAGUGCUGGAGUGGCAGAAGACUUUUGAGGAGAAGCUCACGCCGUUGCUGAGUGUGCGGGAGUCACUCUCAGAGGAAGAGGCCCAGAAGAUGGGGCGCAAAGACCCAGAGCAGGAAGUGGAGAAGUUCGUCACCUCCAACACGCAGGAACUGGGCAAGGAUAAGUGGCUGUGUCCUCUCA
rnacentral:sRNA from 1 species